AUCAACGCUGGCGGCGUGCCUCAGACAUGCAAGUCGAACGAUUAAAGCUCUCUUCGGAGAGUGUAUAGAGUGGCGCACGGGUGAGUAACACGUAAGUAAUCUACCCUCGAGUGGGGAAUAACGUCCGGAAACGGACGCUAAUACCGCAUAAUGCAGCGGCACCGCAAGGUGACAGUUGUUAAAGAUUUAUCGCUUGAGGAGGAGCUUGCGGCAGAUUAGCUAGUUGGUAAGGUAAUGGCUUACCAAGGCUACGAUCUGUAACCGGUCUAAGAGGACGGUCGGUCACACUGACACUGAAUAACGGGUCAGACUCCUACGGGAGGCAGCAGUCGGGAAUUUUGGGCAAUGGGCGAAAGCCUGACCCAGCAACGCCGCGUGAAGGAUGAAGUAUUUCGGUAUGUAAACUUCGAAAGAAUGGGAAGAAUAAAUGACGGUACCAUUUAUAAGGUCCGGCUAACUACGUGCCAGCCG
rnacentral:rRNA from 1 species